UGGAGCCGAAUUUUAGUUGCUU
rnacentral:siRNA from 1 species